rnacentral:rRNA from 1 species
UACGUAGGGGGCAAGCGUUAUCCGGAUUUACUGGGUGUAAAGGGGGCGCAGACGGCAAUGCAAGCCAGGAGUGAAAGCCCGGGGCCCAACCCCGGGACUGCUCUUGGAACUGCAUGGCUGGAGUACAGGAGGGGCAGGCGGAAUUCCUAGUGUAGCGGUGAAAUGCGUAGAUAUUAGGAGGAACACCGGUGGCGAAGGCGGCUUACUGGACGAUGACUGACGCUGAGGCUCGAAAGCGUGGGGAGCAAACAGG